rnacentral:lncRNA from 1 species
AGGGCCGCACCCGUGGCAUAUGGAGGUUUCCAGGCUAAGGGUCGAAUCAGAGCUGUAGCCGCUGGCCUACACCACAGCCACAGCCACGUCAGAUCCGAGCCACAUCUGUGACCUACACCACAGCUCAUUGCAACACGGGAUCCUUAACCCACUGAGCAAGGCCAGGGGUCAAACCUGCAUUCUCAUGGUUCCUAGUCAGAUUCAUUCCACUGUGCCACGAUGGGAACCCCAAAAUAUUAUUUUCUAGUAAAUAGAGUCUAAGUGAAAUUUCUUUCAAAAAGUUUCCCUUGAAAAUAGAAUUUUAAAGCAAUAAGAAUAAAGAGAGCUACGCAAUGGGAGCUAUGGCACUUGAAAGCUAGAAAGGACUUAAGUACUCAUGUAACAAAGAAAAAAAAUGUAAGGCCAGGGGAAGCUGUAACCCAAUCCUCUCAUUUUAAGAGCCAGCUUUGGUACUAAAGAGCUGAGUGACCUUGAGUGAGCCUGUACUAGGUUUGGUUUCUCUAAAGUUACUUCUCAGACUUCUUAUUAUCUGAUUUUUCUCUAGAAUUAAGAAAAUUUCUUUUAAAUUACUGACAUGUGUAAUAACUUUAUCCCAAUUGGAUGCACUUAUGAAAUUGGAAGACUACAGUUACCAUUCCUAAGCAAGGAAACAAAAGAUUGCAGACUAGUAUAUAUAAACUUGAUUCACAGAUUCAGGCUACCAUCACUUUCCAGCCCCCAGAGCACAAUGGAAUGUCCUCAAAUAAUUACUCUUACAUCAGUGUAGGCUGAGUAGGCUUCAGAACCUCAGGGUCCACAGGCAAUUUAGGUUGAGGAGACACAUCAUUAUAACUGGUAUCUUUCCAAACAGGGACUUAAAUUUUCACUGAGAAUUGCUGCCCACAGUUCCCAGACUAUUACCAGAUUUUUCUGAAUUGCUAAAUGAAAAUGAGCCCAAUUUAGUACUUAAGUAUCAUUUUAACUUUACACUUUUUAAUUUUUUAUUUUGCAUUACUUGCUAACUAUACUUUCACAGAAUAUUAGAAAUAAUUUCCUUCACUGCAUUCUAGUAAUUUUACUCUUUUCCAUUUAACAGACAUUUUUCUCCCUUCAUUUUCCAUCAAUGUGAGAUUUGCAGGGCUGACAUUACUUUCAAAUUAAACAGUCCAUACAAAACUAUUGCAAUUACAUGGGGUGCAAUUAUAAGUGUCAAAGCUGCAGCUGGCUUUCUCCUCUUCCUUUCAACUAAAGAAAAAUCACUGAGUAAUACCAGUGAGAAAAAGCUUCUGCCAAGGUCUCUGGGACAAGAAUUAAGUAUUAUGCAAAUCAAGAGAGCAUUACAAUUUUGCAAAAUAAAUUCUUAGAAAAUUCUUUGUUAAGCCUUCUUAGUAACCAUAUAUGUAACAAUGCUCUUAUUAGACUACAUAAUGGUUUAAUCAGUCAUCAUUCAUACUCAUUGGUUCACAACUUGAAAAGAAAGACCUUUCAAUAGUCCACAUAGAAACAUAAAGAUGUAAUAUCAGCUAUUUUGAAGAAUUUAAUAGCAAGGUUCUAUUAGUAAGCUUUUUAUUAAUAUUCAACUUUUAAUAAGUAGUACAUGUUAAUGCUAACCUUUAGCCACAUACACAAGCUGUGAGAUUUAUAAAUUUUCAAAUUAUUUGCAUGUAUUAUCUUGCUUGUGCCACAAAACAACCCACUGAUGUAGGCAGAGGUGAUCUCUGUCAACCCACAGAAGCAGGACUCAAUAAACAGUGUUUCUUGUUCUCCAAAAUUUGCAGGCAAGUGCAGAAUUGUGCCUGGAAGCCAGAUCUUCCAGUUCUCAAUCUAAUAUGUUAUACACUGUACACAUUGCUCCAUGAGUAGAAUGUAAACUGCAGUAAUGAAACAUCAAUCCUCAGGUCUCCUAAAUGCAGGGCAAGAGAGGGCUGCAGUCCACUCUCCCAAGAGAACCCUCCCAUCGUCUGCAACUUUGCAUGAAGAAAGGAAGCUAAUGCUGUUCUCACCCUGUGAGGGGCAUGGCACCUUCCAGCCUGGUAGAGUAGCCAGCAGAAGAAAAUGAGCUCCCUCACAGUAAAUACCCAAGCUCUGAGGCUGCCUUUUUUUUUUUUUUUUUCAUUAUAGAAAAUUUCAAACAUACACAGAAGUAGAGAAGGAUAGUAUAGAGAACCCUCAGGAACCAUCACCUAGCUUCAGCAAUCGCCAAGAGUUUGCCUAUUUUUUUAAGACAUGCUACCUCUGAGGCCUAAGCUAGUGUCUCAACACCACUGGAAGUAUGGUUUCCAUAAGGUCAGUGAACCAACUGCCCUAGGAGUAGCUGGAGAGGGAAAAACUGUCUCUCACAUCUAUUUCCUGCCCCACCUCCAAGUCAGAGGACAAAUUCACUUUAUGCCUCAAGAGGCAGAAAGUUUAUAGAAUUAAAGAGAUGGACUAAUUCCCCUACUAAGUCUGAUUUGGGUCAAGUUUGACUUGCUGGUCCCAAACAUGAUAAAACAUGAGUGUUUUUGUCUCAGAGAUAAAUCUGUUCACUUGUGAGCUCUGCCCCUUCUGGGUUCCCAUAUCAGUCUCCUUGCACACAGUUUACAUUGCUUCUGAUAUUCUGCCUUAAAUUACAUUACUGUCUGAGUGUCUCUUCUGCUUCCUGUUGGAGUUUAAUGAGGAUUUUGCAUUCCUUUCACAACUAGAUGUGUCACCUUUUGCAAAAUAAUUGCUUAUGAAGUAUUUAUUGAAUUUAUUACUUUCCUCUCCAAGAUUUAAUUCAUAUAUUCUGAAAGCUUAAAAAAAAAACCUGAAUUGAGGCAAAAUUAUAUAAUUUAAAACAACAGAGAAGGAAAAUAACUUGAGGAACCAAACAACUAAAAAAUUGUUGUUUAAUUCUUUAAGGUCCAUAAUUACUUAAACAGCACAAAUAAAUGUUCACUUCAAAUUCCUAAUAUAUGAGUAAACCCAUCAAUGAAACUUUUUCAGGCUAAACUUCAUGUUAUCAUAAAAUAAAAUAGCUGUUACAUAAACAGCAAAUAUUAAAAUAUAAGGUAAAACUGGCACUUGGCAUACAUCCAUGACCAUCUUAUAGAAGUCACACUGGGUAUUUACGUUUUACUUUCAUCCAGCACUUUCACAGGUCCUUAAAACACUUUUGAGGAAAAGAAAUGCACGUUGCAUCAAUUUUUAAAAAUAAGAAAAGUAGGGUUCCCAUCAUGGCUCAGCAGAAACAAAUCUGACUAGUAUUCAUGAGGAUGCAGGUUUAAUCCCUAGCCUUGCUCAGUGGGUUAAGGAUCCAGUGUUGCCAUAAACUCUGGUGUAGGUUGCAGACUCAGCUCAGAUCCCGCAUUGCUGUGGCUAUAGUGUAGGCCAUGGGAUACAGCUCCAAUUCAACCCUAGCCUGGGAAUCUCCAUAAGCGUGGCCCUAAAAAGACAGACAGACAGACAGAAAGAAAGAAAGCAAGAAAGGGAAAAGAAAAGAAAGGAAAGGAAAAGAAAAGAGAAAAAAAGAAAAGAAAGAAAAGUUAAGUCUUCAAGGCUAAGUUACUACCUGGUUUAUAAAGGAAAUCAGUGGGUACCUAAGUGUGUGAACUGCGAACUUCUGCAUCAAUCAUACAGCCAGUUUACAAACGCUUGUUCAAUGCAUACUAUAUGCUAGACCCAGCACUAAGUGUUAAGGAUAAAAAUAUAAAGAAUACCCUGCUCUAAUCUCAAGAAACUUACAAUUUAAUAAAAGGAAAAAACUUUUCAAGAAAAUUCAGACAAGUACCACAAGUAUUACAAUAAAAACCUGUGCUUAUUUUAAUGAGAACUCAAAAAAGGUACCUUAUCAACUGAAUCUUUUUUUUUUUUUACUUAAUGAACUUUAUUAUAUUUAUAGGUGUACAACAAUUAUUACAACCAAAUUUUACAGCAUUUCCAUCCCAAACCCUCAGUGCAUCCACCCACACCCCAACCUGUCUCAUUUGGACACUAAGUUUUUCAAAGUCUGUGAGUCAGUAUCUGUUCUGCAGAGAAGUUCAUCCUGUCCUUUUUCACUUUCCACAUGUAAGUGAUAGCAUUUUAUGUUGGUGUCUGGCUGAGUUCACUUAGCAUGAUAAUUUCUAGGUCCAUCCAUGUUGCCAAAAAUGCUGGUAUUUCAUUCAUUUUAAUUGCUGAGUAAUAUUCCAUUGUGUAUAUGUACCACAUCUUCUGGAUCCACUCCUCUCUUGAUGGACAUUUAGGUUGUUUCCAUGUCUUGGCUAUUGCAUAUAGUGCUGCAAUAAACAUUUGAGUACAUGUGUCUAUGUGAGUCAUGGUUUUCUCUGGAUAGAUGCCCAGGAGGGGGAUUGCUGGAUCAAAUGGUCGUUCUAUGUUUAGUUUUCUGAGGAAUCUCCAACUGUUUUCCACAGUGGUUGGAGCAAUUUACAUUCCCACCAACAAUGUAAUUGCGUACCUAUUUCUUCACACCCUCUCCAGAACUUAUUGUAUGUAGACUUUAUGAUGAUGGCCCUUCUGGCCAGUGUAAGGUGGUACCUCACAGUGGUUUAGAUUUGCAUUUUUCUAAUACUGAGCGAUGCUGAACAUCUUUUCAUGUGUUUUUUGGCCAUCCAUAUGACUUCUUUGGAGAAUUAUCUGUUUAGAUCUUCUGCCCAUUUUUUGAUGGGGUUGUUUUUUUGAUAGAGUGGUAGGAGGUUUUUAUAAAUUUUGGAGAUUAAGCCCUUGUCAGUCAAUUCAUUUGCAAAUAUUUUCUCCCAUUGUACGAAUUAUCUUUUUGUUUUGUUUAGGGUUUCCUUUGCGGUGCAAAAACUUUUCAGUUUAAUUAAGUCCCACUUGUUUAUUUUUGUUUUUACUGUCAUUACUCUUAAGAAGUGGAUCUGAGAAAAGGUUGCUGUGGUUUAUGUCAGAGAGUGUUUAGCCUAUGUUUCCUCUAAGAGUUUUAUAGUAUCUGGUCUUAUAUGUAGGUCUUCAAUCCAUUUUGAGUUUAUUUUUGUGUAUGGUGUUAGGAAGUGUUCUCUUUUUUUUGCCAUUUCCAGGGCCAAACACGCGGCAUAUGGAGAUCCUCAGUCAAGUGGUCUAAUUGGAGCUAUAGUUAUCAGCCUACGCCAGAGCCACAUAACGCAGGAUCCUAGGCAUGUCUGUGACCCACACCACAACUCAUGGCAACACCACAUCCUUAACCCACUGAGCAAGGCCAGGGAUCAAACCCGAAACCUCACUGUUCCGUUAUCAGCCUACGCCAGAGCAACAGUAACGCAGGAUCCUAGGCAUGUCUGUGACCCACACCACAACUCAUGGCAACACCACAUCCUUAACCCACUGAGCAAGGCCAGGGAUCAAACCCGAAACCUCACUGUUCCGUUAUCAGCCUACGCCAGAGCAACAGUAACGCAGGAUCCUAGGCAUGUCUGUGACUCACACCACAACUCAUGGCAACACCACAUCCUUAACUCACUGAACAAGGCCAGGGAUCAAACCCGAAACCUCACUGUUCCUAGUCAGAUUCCUUAAACACUGAGAUAUGACAGGAAAUCCAGGAAGUGUUCUAAUUUAUUCAUGCUUUUACAUGUGGCUGUCCAGUUUUCCCAGCACCACUUAUUGAACAGGCUGUCUUUUCUCCAUUGUAUAUUCUUACCUUCUUUGUCACAGAUUAGUUGGCUAUAGGUGUG